CUGAGGUGGCCACUGUGGGGCCGCCAUCUUGAGCCACACGCAUGGAGAAGCCCCCAAAGCUAGAUGUUGACCAGGGAAUAUCCCCGUCUAGAGGUGAUUCUCCUAAAGGACAGGAUGGAAGAGUUUGUGCCACAACAACCAAAGAAAAGCUGGAAAUCUAGGUGCCGCUUGGAGACGCCGGCGCGGGGCCCAGCCAACUGGCCGUCCCGCAGGGCCCCGUUGCUGUGCAGCUGCUUGACGCGCUCCAGGAUGCAAUCGCCCACCACCUCGCCCAGGAAGUUGUCCAGAUGAGAAAACAAAGGCCCGAAAGGACUGGACAUUAAUCAGGAUCCUGCUGAAACUGUACAGUGGUUGAAAUAAGUUCACAGUGUUUUGGGGAAAAUAUAGACCAGGGCAGUCUUUUCAGCCCUUGAGCUCC